AUUGAACGCUGGCGGCAGGCCUAACACAUGCAAGUCGAACGGUAACAGGAAGCAGCUUGCUGCUUCGCUGACGAGUGGCGGACGGGUGAGUAAUGUCUGGGAAGCUGCCUGAUGGAGGGGGAUAACUACUGGAAACGGUAGCUAAUACCGCAUAAUGUCGCAAGACCAAAGAGGCGGACCUUCGGGCCUCUUGCCAUCGGAUGUGCCCAGAUGGGAUUAGCUUGUUGGUGGGGUAACGGCUCACCAAGGCGACGAUCCCUAGCUGGUCUGAGAGGAUGACCAGCCACACUGGGACUGAGACACGGUCCAGACUCCUACGGGAGGCAGCAGUGGGGAAUAUUGCACAAUGGGCGCAAGCCUGAUGCAGCCAUGCCGCGUGUAUGAAGAAGGCCUUCGGGUUGUAAAGUACUUUCAGCGGGGAGGAAGGGAGUAAAGUUAAUACCUUUGCUCAUUGACGUUACCCGCAGAAGAAGCACCGGCUAACUCCGUG
rnacentral:rRNA from 1 species